rnacentral:rRNA from 1 species
GACGAGCGCUGGCGGCGUGCCUAACACAUGCAAGUCGAGCGAGUGAAUCUCCUUCGGGAGUGAAGCUAGCGGCGGACGGGUGAGUAACACGUGGGCAACCUGCCUCAUAGAGGGGAAUAGCCUUUCGAAAGGAAGAUUAGUACAGCAUACGAUCGUAGCUUCGCAUGAAGUAGCAAUUAAAGGAGCAAUCCGCUAUGAGAUGGGCCCGCGGCGCAUUAGCUAGUUGGUGAGGUAACGGCUCACCAAGGCGACGAUGCGUAGCCGACCUGAGAGGGUGAUCGGCGACAUUGGGACUGAGACACGGCCCAGACUCCUACGGGAGGCAGCAGUGGGGAAUAUUGCACAAUGGGGGAAACCCUGACGCAGCAACGCCGCGUGAGUGAUGACGGCCUUCGGGUUGUAAAGCUCUGUCUUCAGGGACGAUAAUGACGGUACCUGAGGAGGAAGCCACGGCUAACUACGUGCCAGCCGCCGCCGUAA